UGCUUUUUUAGGACCAAAGGACAUAUUUCCUUAUUCAGAAAAUAAGGAAAAGUAUGGCAAACCAAAUAAACGAAAAGGUUUUAAUGAAGGAUUGUGGGAGAUAGAUAACAAUCCAAAAGUGAAAUUUUCAAGUCAACAGGUAUCAACCAAACAGUCAAAUGCAUCAUCUGAUGUUGAAGCGGAAGAAAAAGAAACUAGUGUUUCAAAGGAAGAUACUGAUCAGGAAGAAAAAGCCAGCAAUGAAGAUGUGACUAAAGCAGCUGACAUAACCACUCCAAAAGCUGCCAGGCGAGGAAGAAAGAGAAAGGCUGAAAAACAAGUAGACACUGAAGAGGCAGGAGUGGUGACUGCAGCGACCGCUUCCAAUGUGAAAGCAAGUCCUAAGAGAGGACGGCCUGCAGCUACUGAAGUCAAGAUUCCAAAACCAAGAGGCAGACCUAAAGUGGUAAAACAGCCCUGUCCGUCAGAAAGUGACAUGGUUAUUGAUGAAGACAAAAGUAAAAAAAAGGGGCCAGAGGAAAAACCACCCAAAAAGCAGCUUAAAAAGGAGGAAGAAGGCCAAAAGGAAGAAGAGAAGCCAAGAAAAGAACCAGAUAAGAAAGAGGGGAAGAAAGAAGUCGAAUCUAAACGGAAAAAUUUAGCUAAACCAGGGGUUACGUCAACCUCUGAUUCAGAAGAAGAUGAUGAUCAAGAAGGUGAAAAGAAGAGAAAGGGUGGAAGAAACUUCCAGGCUGCUCACAGGAGGAACAUGCUAAAAGGCCAACAUGAGAAAGAAGCUGCAGAUCGGAAACGCAAGCAGGAGGAACAAAUGGAGACUGAGCAUUUUGCUCUGUAAAGCAUUUCAGAUGCAACUUGUGUGAAAUGCAUUAUGCAAAAUAAAGUUUAUUGUAUUGUAUUCCCAGCCAAACAACAUGUAAUCUACAGUAAUAAAAAUAUAUCUCAUUUUGGGCUCAAAGCAUUAAUCCAGUAACUGAAAAGAGAAUACGAGUGGAGCAUACAAGCGAUGAAGAUCUUGAGACAGACUCAUUGGACUGAAUUUUCCCCUCCCCCCUUGAUGGAAGAAAUGUUCCAGAUUCUAAAUUGAGGACUUCACUAUUAAUGGCAUUAUUAACUGUGUUAUGAUUGUUAACAAAAUAUCCUGUAAGGUACACACUACAUAUUAAGGUUGGCCAUCAUUCCUGUUUUUUUUUUUAGCCAAGCUUAAAAUGAAGCUUUGUGUUUGAAGUUAUAACAAACAUAGAUGAAGUCGGUGGUUGUACAUUAUUUCAUUUAGAAAAUAUGAAAACUCAUUUUGUUUUGAAGAUAGGUAUUAAACUGAAAUAGCUAUUACGUUCUUGAAAAAUGGGGCAGGUGUGCCCUUCCCUUGACAUUCUUUUGUUGUUAAGUUCUUUAGAGUCUUGUUUUUUUUUUUCUUUUUAAUCCUGAGAGAUUAAACAGUAGACUUGUUAAGUAAAAAUAUGAAACUGUAACCAAAAUUUUAAAAUAAAGUUUUUUUU
rnacentral:lncRNA from 1 species